UUUUUUUUUUUUUUUUUUUAAUAUGGAGAUCUGAUCGGUUCAGGCACCCUGCGGAAACACAUUCAAUGCUUUCCCACCGACCUUAGGUUAAAGACCCAAGUCCUUAACCUGGCCUCUAAACCCUGUGAGGUGUGGCCCAGCGGUUCUUCCCGCCUCACCGCGGAUGCUCACCGCUAGAGCUCCACUUCCGCUGCGUGGCGCUCCCUGCCCUCCGCCCCUCGCCCCCUGCCCUCCGCCCCUCGCCCCCUGCUCCCCGCCCCCCGCCAGCGCUUGAGCCUUCGUGCAGGCUGGGCUCUGGGCCUGAAAGGCUACUUCUCUUCAUCAGAUCUCAGCUCCUUCAUCAGGGAAGGUACCUAGACCUUCCUUUCGGGUCAGAUCUCCUCUUUUGAGUUCCCACACCAAGAUGUGCUCUUCCUCAGGGGCACUGGGUGCGGCCACAGGUCUGAGUUUCUUGGGAAUUAUUAUUACUAUUAUUAUUAUUAUUGUCUUUUGUCCUUUUAGGGCCGCACCGGUGGCAUAUGGAGGUUCCCAGGCUAGGGGUCUAAUGAGAGCUGUUGCUGCCCAGCCUACACCACAGCCACAGCAACCCCAGAUUCAAGCCACCUCUGGGACCUACACCACAGCUCAAGGCAACCCCAGAUCCUGAACCCACUGAGUGAGGUCAGAGAUGGAACCUGCAACCUCGCGGUUCCUAGUCAGAUUCGUUUCCGCUGUGCCACGAGGGGAACUCCUGUUAGGGAUUAUUCGAUUGAUGUCUGGAUCCCCAUAGAAAGUAAGCUCCCUGAGGGCAGGAACCAUGACUGCGGAUGCUCACUCCUGCCAUUCCCUGGACGGAGAAUUGAACACUCCAUGAAUAUGGAGUUCAAAUGUUGGUUGAAUGAUGCAUGUGCCAGGAUCUGGGGGAAGGGAAGACACAUUUCCGGACCUCAGGAUUCAGGUCAUGAUUCUCCCUCCAGCAGCUGAAGCCCUGAAGUCCGACCUGUCAUUUUCUCAACACCAUUUGUUCUUCCGUAUUACCUGGCCUCUGCCAUCUCCACAGUUGUGCCUUCAUCACAGCCUCCUCCAUCUUGCCUAAGUAUGAGACCCCUUCCCUCUCUGAGUCUCUAAGGGCCCUUCCUGGUUUUGCCUCAUUGGCUUCAGAAGGCAGCAUGAAUAAUGUGGCCACAGUACAGAAUGCAGAACCAGAAUAUCUGGGUUCAAUAACUAGGUAAAAGGCCACUGUGGCCUUCAACUGGCUAUGAAACCACUCUGAUCCCUAGCCUUCUUAAUGAUAAAAUGAGAACAACUUCAGAAUCAAGCAAGAUAGAGGCAUUAGAAAAUCUGAACGCACCAUCACCUAGAAAUACUGUAUAAAAUAUGAAAAACGUAAACAUAUGACUAAGUUCUCAAAAGUAAAACCCCAGGUACUAGAAACAAAGAGGAAACCGAAAGCUGGAGGAUGCACUGGCUGUGGCUGUGGUUACUAGGAGGGAACUGGGAAGGAACAAGUUCUGUUACCUAAGGGCUGUUUUACCAGCCUCCAGGGACAGAAGAGAUCUUAGUCCUGAAGAAAGGGGGAACUUAGAUGAAAGGCAACCAAAGCUGACUCAAAAAGAAAUAGAAAACCCGACAGAUCUGUAAAUUCUAAUCAAUUGAAUGACACACCCACACACUACCCAAAUGAUUUUAUAGUUUGUGUUAUUCUGCCAGCUCUUGCAGGAAUUAUUUAUUUAUAUAAGCUAUCCUGGACAAUGGAAAAAGAGGACCAAUCACACUUGUAAGGCUAAAUAUCUUAAAUGAAAUAUUAGCAAAGUGAAUCCAGUGGAUUUUGUGCAAAUGUGUGUAUGUAUACAUGCAUGUAUGUGUGACCAUGCAGGGUUUUUUCCAGGAAUGCAAGGAUGGUCUGCUUAAAAAAAAAUCUAUUAAUGAUAUUUACAACUUUGCCAUAUUAAAAGGAAAAAAUAUGGUUGUUGUAAAAGGUACAGAGAAUGCACUGGAUAAAGUUUAACACUAAUGAUUUGAAAAACAUCUAGCUAACUAGGAAUAGAAAAUAACCUCCAGGGUGUUCCCAUUGUGGCUCAGUGGUAAUGAACCAGUCUAGUAUCCGUGAAGAUGCAGGUUUGAUCCCUGUCCUUGCUCAAUGGGUUAACGAGCCUGCAUUGUUGUGGCUGUGGUAUAGGCCAGCAGCUGCAUCUCCAAUUCCACCCCUAGCCUGGGAAUCACCAUAUGCCACAGAUGUGGCCCCCAAAAGCAAAACAAACAAACUUCCAAUGUUAAUACAAGGAUACUAGUUUUCACUGUUUCUAUUCAACUUGUGCUGGGGGGAGGGUCUGAAUUGGUACAGUAAGAAAAGUAAAAAAUAAAGCCAUCGCUAUGCAUAGAUGAUUGAUUAUUUACAAAGAAAAUUUAUGAGAGUCUACAAGUAAUUAAACUAACACACCCCUUUCUGGGGGGAAAGAUAUAUUCAAAAUCAGUAUGCCUAUCCCAUGGCAGUAAACAAAUAGAUUUUGUUUUAAGAAAACACCAUUUGUAAUAGCAACAGAAACUAUGAGAUAUUUAGGAAUAAAUAUAGCAAAAUAUGUGCAUGAUCUUUAUGGAGAAUAUAAGUCUCUGUUGGAGAACAUGAAAAGAAGGCAAAAAGAAAGGAGAGAUAUGCCACGCUCACGAAGAGGAAAAUUCAAUGGAAAGCUAAUAAUUUUUCUCAAAUCUCUAAAUUCAAUAGGGUUCUAAUCAAAACCCCAAAAAGUUAUUUUAUGGCACCUAAUAAGCUGUUCUUAAAAUUCUCGUGGAAGGGUAAAUGGCCAAAAAAAGUCAGAAUGAAUUUGAAGUGGAGGAAUAGUGGAGUUUCACUGUAUGCCAGUUUAUUCAAGCUAGAGUGAUGAAAGUAGGGCAGUCCUGGCACAUGGACCAAUAGACAGCUGGUAUGGACUAGAACUUCAUGAAAUCAGACCUUCAAAGAUGUGAGAACAUAGUGUAUGACGAAAGUAACUACAAAUCAGUGGAAAAGGAUGAACUCUUUCUUAACUUCUCUGGGGUUAAUUGGCUAUCCAUUUGAAGAUGAGGCAGGAGUUCCCAAUGUGGUACAGGGCUUAAGGACCUGGUGUUGUCUCUGUGGCCAUAAAGUUUGAUCCCUGGCAGUAGGUUAAGGACCCAGCAUUGCCACAGCUGUGGUGUAGGUCACAGCUGUGGCUCAGAUUUGAUCCCUGGCCUGGGAACUUCCAUAUACCACGAGUGGGGCUGAAAAAGAAAAGAGAAAAUGGGAGCUCCCGUUGUGGCUCAGUGGAAAAGCAGGUUGGAUCCUAGCCCUUGCUCAGUGGGUUGAGGAUCCAGUGUUGCUGAGCUGUGGUGUAGGUUGCAGAUGUGGCUAGGGUCUGGUGUGGUUGUGGCUGUGGCCAGUGGCUACAGGUCAGAUUUGACCCCUAGCCUGGGAACUGCGGGUGCAGCCCUAAAAAGC
rnacentral:lncRNA from 1 species